GGAGCCAUUUCCGUGCCUCCGCCUAGGAGUCAGACUUUCUGGGGUGCAGCGCGGUCCGUGGUGCCAGGACAGGCAGGAAGCCUGCCUUAGCACCCCGCUGUGCCGCUGACUGGGAGCUGCCAAAGAUGAAAUAAACUCCAGAUGUGGAUGUGUUUAGCUGUGGAGUGACAUAAUUCAAAGCCUAGAGACUGGCUUCAGCUAGACAUCACCACCAAGCGACUGAAGCGCUGAUCAAAGGAGAG